CUAAUACCGGAUAUUAUGAGAUUCUCGCAUGGGAAACUUAUGAAAGCUAUAUGCGCCAAGAGAGAGCCUUGCGUUCCAUUAGCUAGUUGGUGGGGUAACGGCCCACCAAGGCGACGAUGGAUAGCCGGCCUGAGAGGGUGAACGGCCACAAGGGGACUGAGACACGGCCCUUACUCCUACGGGAGGCAGCAGUGGGGAAUAUUGGACAAUGGGCCACAAGCCUGAUCCAGCAAUUCUGUGUGCACGAUGAAGGUCUUCGGAUUGUAAAGUGCUUUCAGUUGGGAAGAAGAAAGUGACGGUACCAACAGAAGAAGCGACGGCUAAAUACGUGCCAGCAGCCGCGGUAAUACGUAUGUCGCAAGCGUUAUCCGGAUUUAUUGGGCGUAAAGCGCGUCUAGGCGGAAAAAUAAGUCUGAUGUUAAAAUGCGGGGCUCAACUCCGUAUUGCGUUGGAAACUGUUUUUCUAGAGUACUGGAGAGGUGGGCGGAACUACAAGUGUAGAGGUGAAAUUCGUAGAUAUUUGUAGGAAUGCCGAUGGAGAAGUCAGCUCACUGGACAGAUACUGACGCUAAAGCGCGAAAGCGUGGGGAGCAAACAGG
rnacentral:rRNA from 1 species